UACGGAGGGUGCAAGCGUUGUCCGGAAUCACUGGGCGUAAAGGGCGCGUAGGCGGCUCAUGAAGGCUGUGGUGAAAGUCCGGGGCUCAACCUCGGAUCGGCCGUGGCGACUCGUGGGCUGGAGCACUGUAGAGGCGGGUGGAAUUCCGGGUGUAGCGGUGGAAUGCGUAGAGAUCCGGAAGAACACCAGUGGCGAAGGCGGCCCGCUGGGCUGUCACUGACGCUGAGGCGCGAAAGCUCGGGGAGCGAACGGG
rnacentral:rRNA from 1 species